AGGGAAUCUUCCACAAUGGACGAAAGUCUGAUGGAGCAACGCCGCGUGAACGAUGAAGGCCUUCGGGUCGUAAAGUUCUGUUGUAAGGGAAGAACAAGUGCCGCAGGCAAUGGCGGCACCUUGACGGUACCUUGCGAGAAAGCCACGGCUAACUACGUGCCAGCAGCCGCGGUAAUACGUAGGUGGCAAGCGUUGUCCGGAAUUAUUGGGCGUAAAGCGCGCGCAGGCGGCCUCUUAAGUCUGAUGUGAAAGCCCCCGGCUCAACCGGGGAGGGCCAUUGGAAACUGGGAGGCUUGAGUAUAGGAGAGAAGAGUGGAAUUCCACGUGUAGCGGUGAAAUGCGUAGAGAUGUGGAGGAACACCAGUGGCGAAGGCGACUCUUUGGCCUAUAACUGACGCUGAGGCGCGAAAGCGUGGGGAGCAAAC
rnacentral:rRNA from 1 species